UACGAAGGGGGCUAGCGUUGCUCGGAAUUACUGGGCGUAAAGGGCGCGUAGGCGGAUAGUUUAGUCUGAGGUAAAAGCCCAGGGCUCAACCUUGGAACUGCCUUUGAUACUGGCGAUCUCGAGUCCGGGAGAGGUGAGUGGAACUGCGAGUGUAGAGGUGAAAUUCGUAGAUAUCCGCAAGAACACCAGUGGCGAAGGCGGCUCACUGGCCCGGUACUGACGCUGAGGUGCGAAAGCGUGGGGAGCAAACAGG
rnacentral:rRNA from 1 species